AUGCUUCCUGCUCUCCAUCCGGCUUCCGGCGAGAUCCUGGGGGAACUCUCAGGGAUGCUGAUCAGCGGCUUGCCCGCGGCUCCUGUGCCUUCCCCCCAGUGGGGCCCCUCCCAGGAAGAGUCGCCUGCCUGCCUCACCGGGAGGGGAGGAAGGACACUGUCCAGAGGGACAGGCCGGUCCAAAACAGCUGCUGUGGCCACUGCCCUUCGAAAAAGAGCCCCUGGGCUUCAGAGAUAUUCCGGUGCAAACACCGCAAGAAGGCAAGCCGGCCCCGAGCCGACAUCCCAGCAGAUGCCAGGGAGAAAGUGGGACGCCAUGCGCCACGGGCGGUUGAAUCCCCGCCCUCUUUUUCUGCUUCGCACGGGACGCUUGGUAUACCUGAGGGCGACGCAGGGGUGCCUGGCAAGGACCCUUUCCCUCACCUGGCACAGUUUAGGGGCCACCAGCCUGGGAACGUCUCCCUGCCUGCCCAGAUACCCCUCCUGGCUUCAUCCUGCUCAUGGGGAAGGCAGGGAAGGGCCGAGAGCCCCAUCCGGCCACUCAGCCCUGAUCAAGACCUGCAGGAGGCCUCUGGGCUGCCCCUCCCCCCCCAGCUGGGUCCCCCGCGCACAGUGUUUUCUGCUGGAAAAGCAGCCCUGCUUUCCGCCGCAAGCUCAGGACAAAGACAGGAAGGGAGAAGGGAGCACGUGGCCCAAGGCCCUUUCCCAGGGCAGCAGAGCGAAGAAAACCACAGUUAGCGUCCCUUUGCCAGCCCUGAAGGAGCUCCCUGGUUUGGUCACCACCCCAUUCCCCCACUUCUGGGUCCUCUUUUGCAUGGGCCCUGGACGGCGGACCUGCAAGCCAGUCCCUGCCACACACCGCCAGGCCCCUGGACAGGGCAGGAGACUGCAGGGCCCCCAUCCAACCCCAGGCGGGAUAGCCCAGACAACCUCCCCCAGAAAAACAGCAGUUGAGCUUCGGUCUGAAAAUACCCAGCAGGACGAGGGGAGAUUCGGCCAAAAUCUGCCUUCGGCCUUUGGGCCCUAA
rnacentral:lncRNA from 1 species